rnacentral:rRNA from 1 species
CAGUCGCCGCGGUAAUACGUAGGUGGCAAGCGUUGUCCGGAAUUAUUGGGCGUAAAGGGCUCGCAGGCAGUUUCUUAAGUCUGAUGUGAAAGCCCCCGGCUCAACCGGGGAGGGUCAUUGGAAACUGGGAAACUUGAGUGCAGAAGAGGAGAGUGGAAUUCCACGUGUAGCGGUGAAAUGCGUAGAGAUGUGGAGGAACACCAGUGGCGAAGGCGACUCUCUGGUCUGUAACUGACGCUGAGGAGCGAAAGCGUGGGGAGCGAACAGGAUUAGAUACCCCUGUAGUCCCUGUCUCUUAUAC